AGACAGCUGUCUAGCAGUAAUCAAGAAACAGACUCUUGAUGUCUCCUCGAGCAAUGCGCUGAUUUUGGGAUUAGAUGUCAUUUAUGUGUUGUAAUCAUUCUCCUCUCUAACGUGCUUACUUGGUUAACGUGCUAUCUGUUAAACUCUCAUUUCUGUGUCGUUUUGCAUGCGCCCUAAUUGUGUAUAUAUACUUUUCACAAUCUACAAUUGC
rnacentral:lncRNA from 1 species